GUCGCACGGUAAAGGUCAUGCGGUUAGAGGUCACGCGUUAGAGGUCGCAUGGGAAGGUCACGCGGUUAGAGGUCGCACGGGAAGGUCACGCGGUUAGAGGUCGCACGGGAAGGUCACGCGGUUAGAGGUCGCAUGGGAAGGUCACGCGGUUAGAGGUCGCAUGGGAAGGUCACGCGGUUAGAGGUCGCACGGGAAGGUCACGCGGUUAGAGGUCGCAUGGGAAGGUCACGCGGUUAGAGGUCAUGUGGGAAGGUCACGCGGUUAGAGGUC
rnacentral:lncRNA from 1 species